rnacentral:lncRNA from 1 species
AGGGGCACUGGUUGCUGUAGAAUGUGAUGGCACAGACUCGAGCCCGAAAAUCCGAAAAGAGGUGAAAACAAACAAGCACGGGAAAUUUAGAGUAAAUUUACCAUCCCGGGUGGCCAAACAUGUCAAGAACAUCAAGAAAUGCUCCGUGAACUUGGUUCGGAGCAAUGAUGCCAACUGCGCGGUGGCAUCGACAGCAACAGCUUCUUCAAUUCAUCUCAAAUCAAUUAAAGCCAGAACCCACAUUUUCUCAGCUGGUUUUUUAGCUUUCAAACCCCUGACGCAGCCAAGCAUAUGCAAUCAAAAACCACAAAUUUCAAAUAGGCCACCUACGAAGCCACCAAAACGAGCAGCUCAUAAAAAAACCAGAAAGGGCCUGGUAAACCAAAAAAUGUUUUCUUUAUUUCCACCUCUGAUUCCAAACCCCUUUCAGCCACCACCAGCAAUACUUCCUCCCAUCAUCCCUUCGCCACCGCCUUCAAUAUUUCCUCCUUUCUUCCCAUCACCUCCGCCUUCAAUAUUUCCUCCUGUUUUUCCGACCCCUCCACAGCCACCACCUUCAAUAUUUCCUCCAUUUUUCCCUGCACCACCAGUAGCACCUCCUCCAUCAAUAUUUCCUCCACUCUUCCCUCCAAUACCGGGAUUUAGUCCUCCGGUGGUGAUGCCACCACCGCCACCGCCACCAGUCUUCCCAUUUCUUCCACCAGGAUUCCCCGGAGUGCCGCCAGUGGCAAGGUCAAGUCAUUCAGAAGAGACAAAACAUCCUUAAUUAAAUGAAAGUCACAUGCA